rnacentral:rRNA from 1 species
UUAAGCGACUAAGCGUACACGGUGGAUGCCCUGGCAGUCAGAGGCGAUGAAGGACGUGCUAAUCUGCGAUAAGCGUCGGUAAGGUGAUAUGAACCGUUAUAACCGGCGAUUUCCGAAUGGGGAAACCCAGUGUGUUUCGACACACUAUCAUUAACUGAAUCCAUAGGUUAAUGAGGCGAACCGGGGGAACUGAAACAUCUAAGUACCCCGAGGAAAAGAAAUCAACCGAGAUUCCCCCAGUAGCGGCGAGCGAACGGGGAGCAGCCCAGAGCCUGAAUCAGUGUGUGUGUUAGUGGAAGCGUCUGGAAAGGCGCGCGAUACAGGGUGACAGCCCCGUACACAAAAAUGCACAUGCUGUGAGCUCGAUGAGUAGGGCGGGACACGUGGUAUCCUGUCUGAAUAUGGGGGGACCAUCCUCCAAGGCUAAAUACUCCUGACUGACCGAUAGUGAACCAGUACCGUGAGGGAAAGGCGAAAAGAACCCCGGCGAGGGGAGUGAAAAAGAACCUGAAACCGUGUACGUACAAGCAGUGGGAGCACGCUUAGGCGUGUGACUGCGUACCUUUUGUAUAAUGGGUCAGCGACUUAUAUUCUGUAGCAAGGUUAACCGAAUAGGGGAGCCGAAGGGAAACCGAGUCUUAACUGGGCGUUAAGUUGCAGGGUAUAGACCCGAAACCCGGUGAUCUAGCCAUGGGCAGGUUGAAGGUUGGGUAACACUAACUGGAGGACCGAACCGACUAAUGUUGAAAAAUUAGCGGAUGACUUGUGGCUGGGGGUGAAAGGCCAAUCAAACCGGGAGAUAGCUGGUUCUCCCCGAAAGCUAUUUAGGUAGCGCCUCGUGAAUUCAUCUCCGGGGGUAGAGCACUGUUUCGGCAAGGGGGUCAUCCCGACUUACCAACCCGAUGCAAACUGCGAAUACCGGAGAAUGUUAUCACGGGAGACACACGGCGGGUGCUAACGUCCGUCGUGAAGAGGGAAACAACCCAGACCGCCAGCUAAGGUCCCAAAGUCAUGGUUAAGUGGGAAACGAUGUGGGAAGGCCCAGACAGCCAGGAUGUUGGCUUAGAAGCAGCCAUCAUUUAAAGAAAGCGUAAUAGCUCACUGGUCGAGUCGGCCUGCGCGGAAGAUGUAACGGGGCUAAACCAUGCACCGAAGCUGCGGCAGCGACACUAUGUGUUGUUGGGUAGGGGAGCGUUCUGUAAGCCUGUGAAGGUGUGCUGUGAGGCAUGCUGGAGGUAUCAGAAGUGCGAAUGCUGACAUAAGUAACGAUAAAGCGGGUGAAAAGCCCGCUCGCCGGAAGACCAAGGGUUCCUGUCCAACGUUAAUCGGGGCAGGGUGAGUCGACCCCUAAGGCGAGGCCGAAAGGCGUAGUCGAUGGGAAACAGGUUAAUAUUCCUGUACUUGGUGUUACUGCGAAGGGGGGACGGAGAAGGCUAUGUUGGCCGGGCGACGGUUGUCCCGGUUUAAGCGUGUAGGCUGGUUUUCCAGGCAAAUCCGGAAAAUCAAGGCUGAGGCGUGAUGACGAGGCACUACGGUGCUGAAGCAACAAAUGCCCUGCUUCCAGGAAAAGCCUCUAAGCAUCAGGUAACAUCAAAUCGUACCCCAAACCGACACAGGUGGUCAGGUAGAGAAUACCAAGGCGCUUGAGAGAACUCGGGUGAAGGAACUAGGCAAAAUGGUGCCGUAACUUCGGGAGAAGGCACGCUGAUAUGUAGGUGAAGUCCCUCGCGGAUGGAGCUGAAAUCAGUCGAAGAUACCAGCUGGCUGCAACUGUUUAUUAAAAACACAGCACUGUGCAAACACGAAAGUGGACGUAUACGGUGUGACGCCUGCCCGGUGCCGGAAGGUUAAUUGAUGGGGUUAGCCGCAAGGCGAAGCUCUUGAUCGAAGCCCCGGUAAACGGCGGCCGUAACUAUAACGGUCCUAAGGUAGCGAAAUUCCUUGUCGGGUAAGUUCCGACCUGCACGAAUGGCGUAAUGAUGGCCAGGCUGUCUCCACCCGAGACUCAGUGAAAUUGAACUCGCUGUGAAGAUGCAGUGUACCCGCGGCAAGACGGAAAGACCCCGUGAACCUUUACUAUAGCUUGACACUGAACAUUGAGCCUUGAUGUGUAGGAUAGGUGGGAGGCUUUGAAGUGUGGACGCCAGUCUGCAUGGAGCCGACCUUGAAAUACCACCCUUUAAUGUUUGAUGUUCUAACGUUGACCCGUAAUCCGGGUUGCGGACAGUGUCUGGUGGGUAGUUUGACUGGGGCGGUCUCCUCCUAAAGAGUAACGGAGGAGCACGAAGGUUGGCUAAUCCUGGUCGGACAUCAGGAGGUUAGUGCAAUGGCAUAAGCCAGCUUGACUGCGAGCGUGACGGCGCGAGCAGGUGCGAAAGCAGGUCAUAGUGAUCCGGUGGUUCUGAAUGGAAGGGCCAUCGCUCAACGGAUAAAAGGUACUCCGGGGAUAACAGGCUGAUACCGCCCAAGAGUUCAUAUCGACGGCGGUGUUUGGCACCUCGAUGUCGGCUCAUCACUCCGGGCUGAAGUAGGUCCCAAGGGUAUGGCUGUUCGCCAUUUAAAGUGGUACGCGAGCUGGGUUUAGAACGUCGUGAGACAGUUCGGUCCCUAUCUGCCGUGGGCGCUGGAGAACUGAGGGGGGCUGCUCCUAGUACGAGAGGACCGGAGUGGACGCAUCACUGGUGUUCGGGUUGUCAUGCCAAUGGCACUGCCCGGUAGCUAAAUGCGGAAGAGAUAAGUGCUGAAAGCAUCUAAGCACGAAACUUGCCCCGAGAUGAGUUCUCCCUGACUCCUUGAGAGUCCUGAAGGAACGUUGAAGACGACGACGUUGAUAGGCCGGGUGUGUAAGCGCAGCGAUGCGUUGAGCUAACCGGUACUAAUGAACCGUGAGGCUUAACCU